GAUGAACGUUGGCGGCGUGCCUAACACAUGCAAGUCGAACGGAUCCGGGGGGCAACCCUCGGAUUAGUGGCGAACGGGUGAGUAACACGUGGGUAAUCUCCCCUCGAGUGAGGAAUAAGCUUGCGAAAGCGGGUCUAAUACCGCAUAACGUCCUGAGGCUUAUGCUUCCGGACCAAAGCCGUAAGGCGCUUGGGGAUGAGCCUGCGUCCUAUUAGCUAGUUGGUAGGGUAAUGGCCUACCAAGGCGAUGAUGGGUAGCCGGCCUGAGAGGGUGAACGGCCACACUGGAACUGAGACACGGUCCAGACUCCUACGGGUGGCUG
rnacentral:rRNA from 1 species